CAGCCGUAAACAAUGUGCGUUAGGUGUGUCGGUAACCACGUGUUACUGAUGCGCCGAAGAGAAAUCGUGAAACGCACCACCUGGGAAGUACGGUCGCAAGGCUGAAACUUAAAGGAAUUGGGCGGGGGAGCACCACAACAGGUGGAGCCUGCGGUUUAAUUGGAUUCAACGCCGGACAUCUCACCGGAUAAGACAGCUGAAUGAUUGUCAAUCUGAAGGUUUUACAUGACUAGCUGAGAGGAGGUGCAUGGCGUCAGUGACU
rnacentral:rRNA from 1 species